GAAAAAGAUAACGUGCAUUUUGAUUUCUUUAAUGAUACUUUUAUGGUAUGAGAUACCAAAACCAAAACUGGACACACCAGAACCACCAAUGCAGAUAAAUUUCCUUUAUCUACCUAUCAACCACAGAGAUCAGCAAGCUGGUGCAAGUUAGAAAAUAAGAAAUUUGGCCUCCCCUGUAUAUGAAUUCUCAUCUUCGGAAAUCUCUCUCUUAAUUGCUGUCACCAGAAGUAGAUUUUUCCAAGUAAAUGACAAGUUUUAGGCUCUUUUCUUGAAGACACCGUCCUGGGAAAAAUUUCAUUCAAGUGCACUAUAUUCUCAACAAAUUGAGUGGUACAAAGAAUGCCUAGAAUGUUAUAGUUAAAAAGAUUUUCAAACCCAGCCAACCCCAAACACACCCACCUCUCCCCCCACACCAUGAGCUUUUUCUUUUUUUUCCUCUUCUCUUUCUCUCUCUCUCUCUCUCUCUCUCUCUUUUUCAUCAGUAAGACAUUUAAAUCCUUUUUGUCUAUGAAAAAUAUAAUCUACAAAAGAAAGAAAGUUACCAUACCAUAACUUCAGGAAGUCUAUUCCUUAAACCUUCACCAUGUGCGCGUCGACCAAAGAAGAACUAAGGUCUUCUCGAGAU
rnacentral:misc_RNA from 1 species